rnacentral:rRNA from 1 species
UGCAGUCGAGCGGAUGAAGUAGCUUGCUACUGGAUUCAGCGGCGGACGGGUGAGUAAUGCUUAGGAAUCUGCCUAUUAGUGGGGGACAACGUUCCGAAAGGAGCGCUAAUACCGCAUACGUCCUACGGGAGAAAGCAGGGGACCUUCGGGCCUUGCGCUAAUAGAUGAGCCUAAGUCGGAUUAGCUAGUUGGUAGGGUAAAGGCCUACCAAGGCGACGAUCUGUAGCGGGUCUGAGAGGAUGAUCCGCCACACUGGGACUGAGACACGGCCCAGACUCCUACGGGAGGCAGCAGUGGGGAAUAUUGGACAAUGGGGGGAACCCUGAUCCAGCCAUGCCGCGUGUGUGAAGAAGGCCUUUUGGUUGUAAAGCACUUUAAGCGAGGAGGAGGCUACCUAGAUUAAUACUUUAGGAUAGUGGACGUUACUCGCAGAAUAAGCACCGGCUAACUCUGUGCCAGCAGCCGCGGUAAUACAGAGGGUGCGAGCGUUAAUCGGAUUUACUGGGCGUAAAGCGUGCGUAGGCGGCCAAUUAAGUCAAAUGUGAAAUCCCCGAGCUUAACUUGGGAAUUGCAUUCGAUACUGGUUGGCUAGAGUAUGGGAGAGGAUGGUAGAAUUCCAGGUGUAGCGGUGAAAUGCGUAGAGAUCUGGAGGAAUACCGAUGGCGAAGGCAGCCAUCUGGCCUAAUACUGACGCUGAGGUACGAAAGCAUGGGGAGCAAACAGGAUUAGAUACCCUGGUAGUCCAUGCCGUAAACGAUGUCUACUAGCCGUUGGGGCCCUUGAGGCUUUAGUGGCGCAGCUAACGCGAUAAGUAGACCGCCUGGGGAGUACGGUCGCAAGACUAANACUCAAAUGAAUUGACGGGGGCCCGCACAAGCGGUGGAGCAUGUGGUUUAAUUCGAUGCAACGCGAAGAACCUUACCUGGCCUUGACAUACAGAGAACUUUCCAGAGAUGGAUUGGUGCCUUCGGGAACUCUGAUACAGGUGCUGCAUGGCUGUCGUCAGCUCGUGUCNUGAGAUGUUGGGUUAAGUCCCGCAACGAGCGCAACCCUUUUCCUUAUUUGNCA